UACGGGGGGGGCAAGCGUUGUUCGGAAUUACUGGGCGUAAAGGGCUCGUAGGCGGCCAACUAAGUCAGACGUGAAAUCCCUCGGCUUAACCGGGGAACUGCGUCUGAUACUGGAUGGCUUGAAUCCGGGAGAGGGAUGCGGAAUUCCAGGUGUAGCGGUGAAAUGCGUAGAUAUCGGGAGGAACACCAGUGGCGAAGGCGGCAUCCUGGCCCUGUCCUGACGCUCAGGGGCGAAAGCGUGGGGAGCAAACCGG
rnacentral:rRNA from 1 species